rnacentral:lncRNA from 1 species
GGAGCUGGAGCUCAGCCUCUUGCGCGCAAGCACCAGGCACAACAGCACAACGGACACCCAGAAGCAUGCUGAUGAGAGGGAAGCGGGCUGCAGGAAAAGCUACCCAACUAUAAAUUCGGCCUCCAGUGGAGGAAAGGGGAUGAGGAAACUGAGACUCGGAGCCAUUGACUGCUUGUCCAGAGCAAUCAGGGGAGGCAAGAUCUGAACACCUGCUGCCAGGAGGGUCCUGUGAGCUUCUCCUCACCUGGAGAUCAUUCUUCACCUGCCGUGAACAAGAACUUGGAGUCCAGUAUCAUCUUUCCGGUGCCAGAAGGAUGGAGAGAGAGAUCAACAGGUGAACAGAUGAACAGAUAGGUGGAUAGGAAGGCCGCAGGCUCUAAGAAGUGGUGGAUCGCUGCUAUCAAGGAGCCGCCUCAUGCAGGGAUGGCCUGGGGCAGAAGAUGCAAAGGGAAGGAUGGGGUGGGGGGGCUGGAGGGGGGUUCUCUCCACCCCCUUCACCACUUUAGCCAGACCGCCUCCUCCUCUACGUCGGAUUAUAAAUUGAUUUUAUGAAC